rnacentral:sRNA from 1 species
GGGUGUGGUGGCACACGCCUGUAAUCCCAGUGGCUUAGGAGGCUGAGACAGGAGAAUCGCAAGUUCAAAGCCAGCCUCAGCAACUGCGAGGCGCUAAGCAACUCAGUGAGACCCUGUCUCUA